UACGGAGGGUGCAAGCGUUAAUCGGAAUUACUGGGCGUAAAGCGCGCGUAGGCGGCUAGGUCAGUCGGAUGUGAAAUCCCUGGGCUCAACCUGGGAACUGCAUUCGAUACUGCCUAGCUAGAGUGUGGGAGAGGGUGGUGGAAUUCCCGGUGUAGCGGUGAAAUGCGUAGAUAUCGGGAGGAACAUCAGUGGCGAAGGCGACCGCCUGGCCCAACACUGACGCUGAGGUGCGAAAGCGUGGGUAGCAAACAGG
rnacentral:rRNA from 1 species